GACGAAGGGGGCUAGCGUUGUUCGGAAUUACUGGGCGUAAAGGGUGCGCAGGCGGUCUCGUAAGCUGGGUGUGAAAAGCCCCGGGCUUAACCUGGGAAUGGCAUUCAGGACUGCGAGGCUUUGAGUGUGGCAGAGGGAGGUGGAAUUCCACGUGUAGCAGUGAAAUGCGUAGAGAUGUGGAGGAACACCGAUGGCGAAGGCAGCCUCCUAGGCCAGCACUGACGCUCAUGCACGAAAGCGUGGGGAGCAAACAGG
rnacentral:rRNA from 1 species